UACGUAGGCGGAAUAUUAAGUCAGUGGUGAAAUCCUGCGGCUCAACCGUAGAACUGCCAUUGAUACUGACAUUCUUGAAUAUAGUUGAGGUAGGCGGAAUGUGUAAUGUAGCGGUGAAAUGCUUAGAUAUUACACAGAACACCGAUUGCGAAGGCAGCUUACUAAACUAUUAUUGACGCUGAUGUACGAAAGCGUGGGGAGCGAACAGGAUUAGAUACCCUGGUAGUCC
rnacentral:rRNA from 1 species